UACGUAGGGAGCAAGCGUUGUCCGGAAUCAUUGGGCGUAAAGAGCGCGUAGGCGGCCCUGUAAGUCCGCUCUGAAAGUCAAAGGCUCAACCUUUGAAAGCGGAUGGAUACUGCAGGGCUAGAGUCCGGAAGAGGCGAGUGGAAUUCCUGGUGUAGCGGUGGAAUGCGCAGAUAUCAGGAGGAACACCAAUGGCGAAGGCAGCUCGCUGGGACGUUACUGACGCUGAGACGCGAAAGCGUGGGGAGCAAACAGG
rnacentral:rRNA from 1 species